AGAAAGCCGUUUGAAAACACCUCUUUGCAAACGCACUGCACAGCUCUUCAACUUCGAAGAAUUUUAACAUGGCAGACAGAUCAGGAAUCGGGUUAUUUACCACCCCUCAAAGCCAAAGCGCCGCUUAUAUUAACGCAACAUAUGAAACGUCGUCGGAGGUUGAUCUUGCUCCAGAGGAGACACCAAGUGUUUACGAGAGUUUAAGAAUGCCUCGUCCAACCAACAAUGACAAUGAUCCCAAUAUCAGGAUAACACAGCCACCAAAGACAAAAGUCAAUAGACGGUUACAAAUAGCAUUGGUGUCAGUGGGAAUCAUAUGCGCUGCACUGGUUGCUACUGUUGUAUGGUUGCUUGUGCAUACCCAAAAGGAAAAAAGUGAGCAACUCACCCAUGAUUUUUAGGUUUGGUUUCAGCAAA